GCUUACGGCCAUACCACCCUGAACACGCCCGAUCUCGUUUGAUCUCGGAAGCUAAGCAGGGUCGGGCCUGGUCAGUACUUGGAUGGGAGACCGCCUGGGAAUACCAGGUGCUGUAAGCU
ensembl:rRNA 5S_rRNA 5S ribosomal RNA